GCCGGUGUGGCGGAAUGGCAGACGCGUUCGACUCAAAAUCGAAUGGGGAGACCCGUGGAGGUUCGAGUCCUCUCACCGGUACCA
rnacentral:tRNA from 4 species